CGCGGCCUAUCAGCUUGUUGGUGAGGUAACGGCUCACCAAGGCAACGACGGGUAGCUGGUCUGAGAGGACGAUCAGCCACACUGGGACUGAGACACGGCCCAGACUCCUACGGGAGGCAGCAGCAGGGAAUAUUGCACAAUGGGCGAAAGCCUGAUGCAGCGACGCCGCGUGGGGGAUGAAUGCCUUCGGGUUGUAAACCCCUUUCAGGAGGGACGAAGCGAAAGUGACGGUACCUCCAGAAGAAGCCCCGGCCAACUACGUGCCAGCAGCCGCGGUAAUACGUAGGGGGCGAGCGUUGUCCGGAUUUAUUGGGCGUAAAGAGCUCGUAGGCGGCUCAACAAGUCGGCCGUGAAAGCCCGAGGCUCAACCUCGGGAUGCCGGUCGAAACUGUUGUGGCUAGGGUCCGGUAGAGGAGAGUGGAAUUCCCGGUGUAGCGGUGAAAUGCGCAGAUAUCGGGAGGAACACCAGUAGCGAAGGCGGCUCUCUGGGCCGGCACCGACGCUGAGGAGCGAAAGCUAGGGGAGCAAACAGGAUUAGAUACCCUGGUAGUCCUAGCCGUAAACGUUGGGUACUAGGUGUGGCGGAUUCAUUGACAUCUGCCGUGCCGAAGCUAACGCAUUAAGUACCCCGCCUGGGGAGUACGG
rnacentral:rRNA from 1 species